UCACAUUUGCACACGAUCCAGUGACCUUUCUUUCAACUGCGUACUCUAUACCAAGUCAUCAAACAUAUCAGUCGACCAGGAUAUUACACCUUGUGAAAGAACUUUUGAAGAUACUCCUAUAUUUUUGUGGACAAUUGAACUCAAAAUGAAGGCAGUGUUACUAGCAUUCCUUGUGGUGUGCCUCUGCCUGACCCAGGCAUUACCGAACGGACGGACCGACGGCUCAGAAGGCCACGACGACCACGGCCACGACGACCAUCGCGGCCACACCCACGACGACCACGUUCACAGUUACCUGAACCAAGAUGCACAAGGACACGCGAGUCACAACCACGAGAGCCAUGACCAUUUGCCAGGACAUCAUCAUGGCGGACACGAAAGUCUUCACAAACGUCUCAUGAGGGAGUGCGCUCUCUGUGUUCGAAAUUGCCGCGCUGACACAGGUGAUACUUUCGAGGAGUGCGUCGCCGAAGACAACGUUCGCUGUGCCGCUGCCUGUUACCCAGAACACCGGGUUGGAGAGUGCUUGAUCUGCAUACGGCAAUGCGCCACGGACCUUGAGACCAGCUCAGACCCGGCCCAUCAACCCCACAAGAGCACCCGGGCAAAGCGCAUUACAUACUGUGUCAAGAACCAGCUGUCGCCGUGCCAUCGGCCUUGCCAUCAUUUUCAAGGCGAGGACAACUGAUUUCAGAUGUAGGACAACAGUUUAAGAAACCAUCGUGCACUUUCCUUUAUUUCUACUGCAGAUGGCCUGGGCGUGACGUAUUUUUUGAUACGUUGGUUAUUCUUACGGGGAAAAAAUGUUCCAGUGCAGGACAUCAGUGACUUCUUCAAACGUAAUAUAUACACGAACCACGAAAAAUUAUAAUUGUUACAAUAAAUUGAAUGUAUAGCCUGCAACCCUAAAACAGAACAUACCAGCAGGUUUAUACCAGUCCUACACUCCGACGCAGUGAUUUAAAAAAGAUGUGUCUUAAUGUCAUCUCGUGAGAAGACUUGCGUUUGCACGCCGCCACUGCUUUAGGAUUGAUGAUUUUACGAUUUGGGCUGGGACGUGCGGUGUGUUAAAGGGAGAAUACAGACAAGCGCAGGGGAUUUCAUUCGCGAUCAUUGGGUUACUGAUAUCCACAGUAAGGGCAUAAGGUCAUGUUUGAUUCAGUACUUAAUACAUGCCUCGUACAGCAUGAAUAGUUUUGACGUGCUGUGAGAUGAAAGAGACCCCUAUUGGCGACUUCGUGCAUCUUGAUCUUACCUACCUAGCUGCUGCCUAUAAAGUAGAUAAUUCGAACAGCAUGAUAUCCACUCGGAUGACCCUUUUUAUUUGAUGAAUGAUUGUUAGUUUAUUAGUUCAUUGGUUGACCUGUGUGCUCUCUGAAACAUGUCUUUUGUUAUGCCAUACAUGUCAUGUGUCAUCAAUAAAGAUUGAAUUAAUUUUGAUAAUUUAA